ACAAAAACAGGAACUGUUAUUUUCUUUUAUUGCAAAAUUUAUUGAGAGAACCGGUGCGCGAUAAAGUGAGGAAGAAAAAAAAUGGAGUGCGAGAGGAUGAGUUGCAGUUUACCGCACCAUUUUUUGCCAAAAAAAAAAAAAAACACAGUAUGAAUGGUUGGUUGUUGUUUGUGCAAUGUUAAACUGUAUAGGUUUUUUUCGAACGUUGUCAGUUUUUUCUUUCUCGUGUAAGUGUCAAUGGAACCGAAUUAGGAACGAAGACAAAAAAAAAAAAAAAAAAAAAAACACCACGUAUAAAAAUAACAUUCCGUGGGUAAAGUCUAACGAAGGUAAGGUACCCGUUUUGCCCUUUUGUUAUGAAGUUUACACAAUUAACAUAUCCUAAAUUUCGAAGCUAAUCAAAAAAAACAAUUGCAUGUUUGGUGACAUCGCGGAUUAGUUAAACUACAUUAACAGCCAGCGUUGUUGGGUAUUAAGUUUUUGCUAGUGUGGUUUUUAGGAUGGACGUGGCACGGUGGUUCUCCCCUCUGUUAACGUUUGGUUGGAUUGUAACUGUGAUAGGUGCCUUACCUUCUGAAGCUGUUACUGAUCGGUUUCAAAAGAAUACGAAAAAAAAAGACUUUUACACAAGGUUUUUCGCUAUUAUUAUAUAUAUAAGUUGUUAAAAAAAGUUUUGAACUAGUCAAAUUUUUGAUGAGUAGUGUUAUAUCGAAAUUUUUGGAAGAUUUUGAAGAUUAUUAAAAAAAAAAAAAAAACAAAAGGGGAACAGCGAAUCUGUUUCAUUUUUUGUGUUUAUACAAAGAUAACUGUUAUGGAUGAGAUAAAGUGAUGAUUAUGAUGAUGACAAUUGAUAUUUGUGUGUAAUAACAAAAAAAAAAAAAAAAAUAGAACUAACUGUAAUGUUGUAUAUUAGCGUUGUAACAUUUUACUUGCGAU
rnacentral:lncRNA from 1 species